rnacentral:misc_RNA from 1 species
GUGAAUCAUCGAAUUUUUGAACGCAAAUUGCACUCUCUGGUAUUCCGGAGAGUAUGCCUGUUUGAGGGUCAGUUUAAAUAAAAAUGGGUGUGGUUGCUGCUUUUGGUGGUGAGGAACGGGAUGGGGGUGGUUUUGCCUUCCGUUAAGUGACCUAAAAUUUUGCAGGAUUUUUUCGAACGUAUUUAAUUGAUUUUACGUAGGUUUGGGAUACCGAAUACUAGGGUUGGUCUUCCUAUUGAUCGG